UACAGAGGGUGCGAGCGUUAAUCGGAAUUACUGGGCGUAAAGCGUGCGUAGACGGUUUCGUAAGUCGGGUGUGAAAGCCCCGGGCUCAACCUGGGAAUUGCAUUCGAGACUGCGUAGCUAGGGUGCGGAAGAGGGAAGCGGAAUUUCCGGUGUAGCGGUGAAAUGCGCAGAUAUCAGGAGGAACACCGGUGGCGAAGGCGGCAUCCUGGACCAACACUGACGCUGAUGAGCGAAAGCCAGGGGAGCAAACAGG
rnacentral:rRNA from 1 species